rnacentral:misc_RNA from 1 species
GUAUUCUAUUUGCUGGUCUCUCAUUUUUGAGGUCAGCUCCCCUAAAAUAUAUUAGCGGAACAAUUUGUUGACCGUUCAUUGGUGUGAUAACUAUCUACGCUAUUGACGUGAAAUAGAUUCAGCUUCUAACCGUCCAUUGACUUGGACAAAAUUUUCAUUAAUGUGACCUCAAAUCAGGUAGGACUACCCGCUGAACUUAA